UGAACGCUGGCGGUAUGCUUAACACAUGCAAGUCGAACGGAAACGAUACUAGCUUGCUAGUAGGCGUCGAGUGGCGGACGGGUGAGUAACGCGUAGGAAUCUGCCUGAUAGUGGGGGAUAGCCCGAAGAAAUUCGGAUUAAUACCGCAUAAUCUAUUCGUAGUAAAGUGGGGGACUUUCGAGCCUCACGCUAUCAGAUGAGCCUGCGUAAGAUUAGCUUGUUGGUAGGGUAAAAGCCUACCAAGGCGACGAUCUUUAGCUGGUCUGAGAGGAUGAUCAGCCACAUCGGGACUGAGACACGGCCCGAACUCCUACGGGAGGCAGCAGUGGGGAAUAUUGGACAAUGGGGGCAACCCUGAUCCAGCAAUACCGCGUGUGUGAAGAAGGCCUGAGGGUUGUAAAGCACUUUCAAUUGUGAAGAAAAGUUAGCGGUUAAUAACCGUUAGCCUUGACGUUAACUUUAGAAGAAGCACCGGCUAACUCCGUGCCAGCAGCCGCGGUAAUACGGAGGGUGCAAGCGUUAAUCGGAAUUACUGGGCGUAAAGCGUGCGUAGGCGGUUUAUUAAGUCAGAUGUGAAAGCCCCGGGCUUAACCUGGGAACUGCAUUUGAAACUGGUCAACUAGAGUAUGGUAGAGGAAAGUGGAAUUUCUGGUGUAGCGGUGAAAUGCGUAGAUAUCAGAAGGAACAUCAAUGGCGAAGGCAGCUUUCUGGACCAAUACUGACGCUGAGGUACGAAAGCGUGGGUAGCAAACAGGAUUAGAUACCCUGGUAGUCCACGCCGUAAACGAUGAUAACUAGCCGUUGGGGGGAUUUACCCCUUAGUGGCGAAGCUAACGCGUUAAGUUAUCCGCCUGGGGAGUACGGCCGCAAGGUUAAAACUCAAAGGAAUUGACGGGGACCCGCACAAGCGGUGGAGCAUGUGGUUUAAUUCGAUGCAACGCGAAGAACCUUACCUGGUCUUGACAUCCUGCGAACUUUCUAGAAAUAGAUUGGUGCCUUCGGGAACGCAGUGACAGGUGCUGCAUGGCUGUCGUCAGCUCGUGUCGUGAGAUGUUGGGUUAAGUCCCGUAACGAGCGCAACCCCUAUCCUUAUUUGCCAGCACAUCAUGGUGGGAACUAUAAGGAGACUGCCGGUGAUAAACCGGAGGAAGGCGGGGACGACGUCAAGUCAUCAUGGCCCUUACGACCAGGGCUACACACGUGCUACAAUGGGAAGGACAAAGAGCCGCGAAGCCGCGAGGUGUAGCUAAUCUCAUAAACCUUUUCGUAGUCCGGAUUGGAGUCUGCAACUCGACUCCAUGAAGUCGGAAUCGCUAGUAAUCGUAGAUCAGAAUGCUACGGUGAAUACGUUCCCGGGUCUUGUACUCACCGCCCGUCA
rnacentral:rRNA from 1 species